UUGUCUGGCUUUCUUUUUUUUUUUUAAUUAAAUCCCUCGGGGGUUUUGGGGGCUGAGAGGGAAAAAAAUACAUAUCAUAACCUGCGCCGCCCGGGAAUCGAACCCGGGUCGCAAGAAUGGGAAUCUUGCAUGAUACCACUACACCAGCGGCGCGGCUGGCGGUAAGUGUGUCCGCGAGACUUAGGAGAUUGUGACGCAAGCCCCGCCGCCCAGCCCCAGGCGGAGCCGUCAGAGCGCAGGCGUCGCUGCGGCGCGAGCUGCAGGGCUGGAAGCACUGGACUUGAGGGGCGGGGAGCGGGAAGGCGGGGGUCCCGCCUAGUCUCUCGGGCACUCAGCACUCCAGGGGAAGGAGCGGCGAUGAGGGACGCGGUUUCUGGCCGACUGGAUUCGAACUGACGCCGGGGAAACCAUAGCAACCGCGGCAUUCCGGAAAUUGUGGUUCUGCAGGCCAGAAGUCCAGAAUAAAGAUCUCGGCUGCCCAACGGCCCUACCGGAAGCUGUUUCGUCAGCACAGCUUCCUGCUCCUCUCUCUGUGUCUCCAGGCGCUCCCGGGCUUGUGGCCACCUCCCUGCCAUCUCUCCUCUGGGUCUCUCUGUGUCCUAAUAUCCCUCUCCUUUUUAUCUGUAUUUAAAUUUUUUUUUUCUUUUUUAAGUUAUGAAAGUAUGAUAACACAUUUACAGGAUACUUGGAAAAUAUAAAGUUACAUAAAGUUCCACUA